GGAAGCCCACAUAAGUCAAGAGGCCAAAGAGAACCAGUGUCAGCAGGGGGAAAUCAGAGGGACUUCCCCCAAGUCCUUCCUGUCAAAGACAGAAGCAUUAGAGAACUCGGUGAAGGAAAAAACAUCUCAAGGACUAUUCCAGGCUGAGUAAGUGUCUCCUUAGUGGGGCUGCUCCUCAUUUGGUUUUACCCCGGGACACUGGGCUGCAUCCUGCUGUGGUCAGUUCCGAGAAGCUGCGAUUUAAAACUGGAUGUAUGUAGCUUUAAGCAAGUCCUAGGCCAACGCUCAGUCCCAAGGAGCGUCAGGGUCCUCUCACCAGCGGCAGGUGGGGAGUGGUGGACAUUGGAUGCCUUGGUUUUCGCCGGUGACCUGCAGGCACUUGGGCUGCAUCAGUGAAGAAAACAAAGAUCCCUGUGUUGGAGGAGGUCAUCCAGAGGACGUGACUACUGGUUGACCCAAUAGUGAGACCAGGGCAGUCAGAGGCUCCGUACUUCUCCACUGUCCUUGGAAGCAUCUGGCCAUCCUCUCGCAACCUCUCACAUCCGGGUAUCCUCCCACAUCCGGGUAUCCUCCCACAUCCGGGUAUCCUCCCGCCUCCGCAUCCAGGGAUCCUCUUCCAGGCUCUGGGUUAGGAAAAUAAAAUGGCCUGACUACAGAAAGGAAACUCCAAAAUUUAUGGGCUUGUGAUUGCAGUUCAACUAUUGUGUUUGGAGUGAAAUCCCUUUCUUUGAGCAGUUUUAACGGGGGUCAUCCAAAGCGAAGUGGGUAUACUUGAAUGCCACAGUAGUAUCUGGAAGAAGAAACACACUGUAUUUCCAAGAGUCUGUAGAAGGAAGAGUUUGAAAGUGUGAUGAAAUGAUAUCUUUACUUUUUCUUAUUUUAGAAUUCUCAGUCGGUGUGCAUAAUAUACUACCAUUUGUAAAAAGAAAAAAAUGUGUGAUGUAUAUACUUAUAUAUGCACAUAACACACAGGAAACUAUUAAGAGGGGUUGCCUUUGGUGAGGGGGCCUGGGAAUACAUAGGUGUGGAGAGAGACAUUUCUCACUGUAUAUCAGUAAUUCUCAACCAUUUUAGUCUUAGGAUUCCUUUAACUCUUAAAAAUUAUUGGAGUUACCAAACAGUUUUUGUUUAUGUCAGUAAUAUGUCUAUCAAUAUUGACUGUAUUAGAAAUUAAAACAGAGAUCUUAAAAAUACUUAUUUAUUAAUUCAUUAAAAAAUAACAAUAAUACACCCAUUAUAUAUUGACACAAAUAUAUUUUUCAAUGAGAAAACCCCUAUAUUUUCUAAAACAAAGUUCAGUGAGAAGAAUGGCAUUGUUUGACAUUUUUUGCAUAUCUCUUUAAUAUCUGGCUUAA
rnacentral:lncRNA from 1 species